rnacentral:rRNA from 1 species
UGGGGAAUUUUGGACAAUGGGCGAAAGCCUGAUCCAGCAAUGCCGCGUGUGUGAAGAAGGCCUUCGGGUUGUAAAGCACUUUUGUCCGGAAAGAAAUCCUCUGGGUUAAUACCUCGGGGGGAUGACGGUACCGGAAGAAUAAGCACCGGCUAACUACGUGCCAGCAGCCGCGGUAAUACGUAGGGUGCAAGCGUUAAUCGGAAUUACUGGGCGUAAAGCGUGCGCAGGCGGUUUUGUAAGACGGGUGGGAAAUCCCCGGGCUUAACCUGGGAACUGCAUUCGUGACUGCAAGGCUAGAGUAUGGCAGAGGGAGGUAGAAUUCCACGUGUAGCAGUGAAAUGCGUAGAGAUGUGGAGGGAUACCGAUGGCGAAGGCAGCCCCCUGGGCCAAUACUGACGCUCAUGCACGAAAG